AUUUAUUUGGCGCAAUUGCCCCAGGAGCACACGUUGGCUCAUCUAGGGGGCUCUUGCACAAAAAUAAAGAUUUACAUAUUCAAGCAUGCAACACACAAGUAUCACACAACAUCAAUAAUUAUAAGGUUUUACAUAUAUCACAAUCAGAGUCAUCGCUUUGAAACACGUUAAUUACCUACUGCAACAAGCCCUCAGAAACACAAGCAUCGAGAAUUUUGUAGCACCUCAGACAGCUUGUUACAGUUAAACAGGUACUUACAAUAAUAUUUUUUUUACAUUUUUUACGAACUGAGAAACGAGAUGUAUCAAUUAUAAAUCUUUGUACAGCAAAAAACAAUCUAUGAUUUACAUUAAAAGCAACGUUAUUACAUCCAGAAAGC